rnacentral:rRNA from 1 species
UACAGAGGGUGCGAGCGUUAAUCGGAAUUACUGGGCGUAAAGCGUGCGUAGACGGUAAUGUAAGUCGGGUGUGAAAUCCCCGGGCUCAACCUGGGAAUGGCAUUGGAUACUGGCUCGCUAGAGUGCGGUAGAGGGUGGUGGAAUUCCCGGUGUAGCAGUGAAAUGCGUAGAGAUCGGGAGGAACAUCUGUGGCGAAGGCGGCCACCUGGACCAACACUGACACUGAGGCACGAAAGCGUGGGGAGCAAACAGG